CAGUAGCCACGGUAAUACGUAGGUGGCAAGCGUUGUCCGGAAUUAUUGGGCGUAAAGGGCUCGCAGGCGGUUUCUUAAGUCUGAUGUGGAAGCCCCCGGCUCAACCGGGGAGGGUCAUUGGAAACUGGGAAACUUGAGUGCAGAAGAGGAGAGUGGAAUUCCGCGUGUAGCGGUGAAAUGCGUAGAGAUGUGGAGGAACACCAGUGGCGAAGGCGACUCUCUGGUCUGUAACUGACGCUGAGGAGCGAAAGCGUGGGGAGCGAACAGGAUUAGAUACCCGCGUAGUCCCUGUCUCUUAUAC
rnacentral:rRNA from 1 species